UCUGAGUCCUCGAGUAGGAAACGUUGUUACAGCGACAGCUUUGUUCAGGAGGGAAUAAAGGAGGACGCCGCACACAAUGCCGAGGGUUCAAUCAUCAAAGAUCUUCUUCUGAAAACUUCUAAUACCGCGAACGGACCGUUGCCGGAGGCUGCCGGUAUCGACAAUCUGACGUGUCCCGCGUGCAACAUCCCGUACACUAGCGUAGACAACCUAGAGACUCAUCGUAGGUACUAUUGCAAGGGCACUGGUAGUCCCCGAAGGGCAGAUUAUCCCGGCGAGCUGGAGAAACGCGGAGAGUCCGACUUUGACUCCAAGUCUUCCGAAUCUUACUACGGCACCUUGCAACCGUUACCCUCGCCGGGUCCUCUGCUGGGUAACACUCGGCUGGUCGACGCAUACGCUCCACCCACGAAGAAACCACGAUUGGAGACUGUGCCGACCAGCCUGAGGUCGCUGGAAGAGCUCAGCAAGUACCCGCGUCCAAAUUCCCUGCAGAUGUUCGGCGGCGAGGUGAGAAUUCUCGACAACACGGGCGAAACAAAAACCAUGAGAAUCGAGCCACGGCAGACCAACUCGCCCACCAGCGAGCACAUAGUGAGUAGCAAGUGCGUAACCUCAGAGACGGCGUCGGUAGUAGUCAAGUCCGGACUGCACUCGGGUGGCACCAUGGUUCACAAGCCACCAGGUACGCCGGUUAGCACACCGAGUUCCUCCAUAUCUCUACCCAACGUACCGAAGAUGCUGGCGCCCAUCAUACCGAACAUAUCAACCCCCAAUAUAGCGCCAAAUAUGUCCUGCUACAACUACCUGGAGCCGCAUUUGAACCCACUGACCAAUAUCACUGCCUACAAUCCGUUGACGUUGCCACAAGCAGGCAUCACCAAUAUCCUCCAUGGCGGUAAAAUAAUACCCUAUGUUCCCGGCAUGCCUGGGCCGCAUACUCUAACCGGCAUACCGAACAUAGACAUAUCUCCGAGUGUGACGUCCGAUGAAGCCGGCUACAAGGUGAUACCAGGUCUACCGGGUCUACAUAUGGUACCCCAACCUCUGAACUUGGCCAGUCCGGUAAAGGUACAAGCUGGCGUGCCUGUGCCGUCUGGUAUACUCGGACUGUUACCCGGACCACCCUCCGUGUUGGACCAGCCUCUGGAUCUGGCAAGCCCGGCCAAGGAAUCCAAGAGCAGCUUCAAAACUCCCAGCGGUGACGGUUCAAAAAGCGGCUUGAUCAGCCCCAAAGUUCCUAAUGUUAAGAUCGAGACCUCGACGGAUAAAUAUCGCGCAAAGAUGCCGUCGAUGCCCACCGGGGAAAUCGGUAAAACGGAGCUCGAUCGUCAUAUCAAGAAUGGCGUGGCGGUGAAGUACAAGAGUAUAGAGAGUCCCCGGGAAAGAAGAGAGUUUACAUACGACAAGAGUCCGAAGCAUUCGGACAAAACUCCCGGUUAUCCAAAUGGCAUGGAUACGGUGAAUUCCUCUAGUUCUUACACUACUAAAUUGAGGUACUCGCCCAAAACUGUUGCUGCUGCUACCACUACUACCACAACCACCACCACCACCACCACCACUACCAUCACCACCACUACCACCACUGCUACUACUAUUACUACUACUGCUACUGCUACUACCAGUACUACUACUACCACUACUACUACUACUGCUACUACGGAAAGCAGAAAAAGGCCGUCCAAUUGGGGUGCAAGUGAGGUAGACGCUGGCAGGGCAUCGGCUGAUACGCACAUCGCCAUCUCCAAAUAUGAUCUGCCGCCUCAUGAAAAUGGCCGAUUGAAGAGUAGUCUCUGUGACGGACGAGCGAAGCUCGUAGACGGUUGCGACGCGUUCAACGGGGCCAAAACGAAAGUUGCCGAGCCUGUACCGUCGGUGAUACUUGUGAACCUAGAUUCCUCCAAAACAGAAGUGCCAACGAAAACUUCCGUAGAGAUAGUAAUUACUAAGGACAAGCCCGAGGCCAAAUCGCCAAAGAGUAGCUGCGGCAGUGAAGUCAUCGAGGAAGCGACCAACUCUAACAAGUUUGUGAGACCUACGUCGCUACCGCUCAAGCCCGGCACGUUCACGCCGAAGAAGCAUCACGGGAUCACGCCAACGGCGAACACACUUCCUCUCAUCAGUCCGGAGACUCCGCGACCCAAAAAGUCGUACGGACAACUGUAUCUAAAUGGGCACGCCUACACAUAUCUGGGAUUAAAGUGUUCCACCAGAGUGUUCUAUUGCACCUUGAAUCGACCGCAACCGAUGUACGUUACGCAGCAACACGGUCUGUCGAUGUACUCCAACUGGAAAAUAUGCAAGGAGGCACCGUCAGACGUAGACAUGGCGCACUACGACUCCCGGCACAGGCCUUCCAACUACACCACCGCUUGGAAAAAGCAGGAAGACAUUCUGACACACUCCUCGCAAAGACCAACCACUCCCACGAGUCCGGACAGCGGCUUGGAGAGUGAUAUGCAGGAGAAAGCCAAAAAAAUGACGAUAUUCGACGGAGGUUAUGAGAGCAACGAGGAUUACACCUAUGUGCGCGGAAGAGGUCGAGGACGUUACGUCUGUAAAGAAUGUGGUAUUCGGUGUAAGAAACCAUCUAUGCUGAAGAAACAUAUCAGAACGCAUACAGAUGUUAGGCCGUACACCUGCAAGCACUGUGCCUUCAGUUUCAAGACAAAGGGCAACCUCACAAAACAUACCAAGUCCAAGGCUCACUACAAGAAAUGCGUGGAAUUAGGCGUGGUACCGGUACCCACGACUGCCUGUGAUGAGAGUGCCGACAAGGAGGCCAUGGUGCAGUCAACCGCCGGUGGCGGCAACGCGGAGGAAUCGUCGGAGGAGGAAGAAGAGAGCGACGGUGAAGAGAGCGAAGAGUCCGGUAGCGAGGAGCAAGAGGCGGCGCAGAGUCUACUGAGUCUCUCGCAACGUAACAACCCAAACAGGCUGCCAGGCUUGCUGCCGUCGGGAAGACCCACAACAUAUCCGUACGCUCUGACCCUACCGAUCUCGCCGACAACUUCCACGGUGAACGUCGUAUCCACCGCGGCGAGCGCAUCGACUAUGAGUGGUCCGAACGUGACCACCAACCAAGGAACAACUUUGAUUCAAAGCGAAUUAUCGCAUCGUUAUUACUUCCCGUCGAACCGAACGGCGUCGGAAGAAUCGAGGAGCAGUGUCAUCCAAUCGACCUCGAAGAAGGACGACUCGGAUGUCGAGAUGGAGGUCGAAAUGAGUAACGACAUCGGCGACAUUGUAGAAUCGUCGUGUCACCAAUCUAUGUCUCAGCCGAUGGACUUGACGACGAAGCAGACGGUUCAAUCGGCGUUGCCAUCGCCGAUCCCGCAACGGGCCAGGCCGGCGGAUAUCCUGACUCCCGUCUCGGAACCAGUCCUCUUGCAGACGAUAGUCCAGACGAUGGAGCGACUACCUAUACAGGGCAGAGAGUGGAAGCCGGACGCGCAGGGCCAUAUGUUGCAGGCGUAUCUCACCGAGAGAUACGUGAUGGACAGUAAAAUCAAGCAGCAGUACCGCGUGGGUAACAGCAAGUUGGACAAACAAAUGCAAGAGAGGGAGAUUUAUCCACGGCAUCAAGAACCCGUAAGAUCUAGGCAUGUAGAGUCCAAUGGCGUCCCAACGGUGACGUAUACCGACCCCAGCAAGAUACAGCAGCACACGCUUGUGGAAAGCCGGGUGGUGAAGCACGCGACCAAGCAUACCAGCGACGACAUAAAGAUGGAAAUUCGGGAGAAGAUAUAUCAAAACAAUAUGGCAAUGGAGAGACGAGCGUUCGACUUGGAGGCAACUGCUCACAAGAACAAGGAACAGCCUAGUCGCUUGCUUCCUGAACGUGAGAGUUUCGAGCUUGUUUUAGCCAGCCCGGCCGUUGGUACGAGGCCGAGCAUCGAGUACGGUUUACCAAUGAGUAAGAACAACAACUCUAUGGACAGACCGGUUUAUCUCGUGGACGCGCCUGUCCUAAAUACACUAACCAAUAUCGAUCGCCAUUCACCGAAAUCUUUGAAUAUGGAUGCCAACAACCGAAUGCCGCUGAUGCAACACGCCAAUAUCGACGUCGACAGGGGCUCCAUGUUCAACGCGAUCAAGAUGAUAGGUGAAAUGGAAAGACCUAGGGAAUGUCACCUAGUUAAUCAGGAGAUAGUUCGAACAGCGAGCAAUGACGUGCGAAUGCAGAAUCAGAGCCCGCGGAAUCACGACCUGAGACCGCCCAGCAGGGAGAUCAGAACGCCCGGUCAAGAGUAUAGAGCGCAGAAUCAAGAGCUGAGGCUACCUAGUCAGCAGGAGUUGAAGAUGCGGGCUGGCCAGGAGAUGAGACCGCCUAGCCGCGAGUACAAGCCAUUCGCUCAUGAGAUGCAAGUCAUUCAGGAGCUUAUGCCGUCGACAAACAUAGAAAUGCGGCAAACAAGUUCUGAUAAUAGGCCGCCGAGCAGAGACAUGAGAGCUGUCUCGGAAUACAGAGCGCAGCCUCAAGAUCUCAGGCCCAGCUACGAGAUAAUGCAGUCGCCUAUGCACGAGCCUCCCAAGUCGCAGAACAUUGACGCGAGGAAUGCCGUACCGGUUGUCUAUCAUUAUGAAACGAAACACACCGCGGAGGCAACCAAACAAAAUGCACCGGAUAACGCGAAGCACACGGUAGCCAGGAAGAUAGUCGUCGGCGGCCCGGACUUUCGAUCGCCGUCGCCGUCGCCGAAUACGGCGAAUCCAAAACCGCAAGCGGAAUUUCUACAACCGUCGAGUGGGCCGGCGCCUAAUUAUGUUACUGUGACGGAGGACGGUAGGAGCGUGUGUGGAAUUUGCAACAAGGUAUUCAGCAAGCCUAGUCAGUUACGGUUGCAUAUCAAUAUUCAUUACUUCGAACGGCCAUUCAGAUGCGAAAGCUGCGCGGUUUCCUUCAGGACCAAGGGUCACUUGACGAAACACGAGAGAUCGGUUUCCCAUCACAAUAAGGUCAGCAUGACUUCUACAUUCGGUGCGGCAACCACCAGCAAUCCUAGGCCUUUCAAGUGUACAGAUUGUAAGAUAGCGUUCAGAAUACACGGACACUUGGCCAAACAUCUUCGCAGCAAGAUGCACAUUAUGAAGCUGGAGUGCUUGGGCAAGUUGCCGUUUGGCACAUACGCGGAAAUGGAAAGGUCUGGUGUCAACCUGAACGACAUUGACACCACAGACUGUGAUAAUAGUCUUACUAGUCUGCAGAUGUUGGCUCAACGAUUGUGCGAAAAGGACCCGGCCAAGAUCGCGCAAUGGGACUCUGAGAACGUGCCCGUCGCUCAGGCGGUGAGCGGCGGCGAAACUUCAUCGGACGAGGGCGAACCUAUACAAGCGCAGCAUGCGCUUCACGCUCAAUACGCAAAAGCGACCACGGACGCGGAUAUCUCCCGAUCAUAUCACGUGCCAAUCGCUAGCGAAGAAUCGAAAGCCAUUAACCACGAUGUUCGCCUUCGCAGUCCUCACUUCAGUCAGCAAAGGCGCGACUACGCCGUGAAGGAACAGCCGAGACCAAUCUCGGCCGCCGUUUCGUCGGAGGAUGCGAGGACGGGAGACAAUUUACAAACGUACAAGUGCCAAGUUUGCCCUGUAUCUACGCGUACCGUAAACGAAUUACAGGUACACUGUUUUGUUGAACAUAAUAUUGAAACAGAUUCUAGUACAAAUAUUGUUCAUGGAGAUAGGAGCGCGAGUAAAUAUAGGGAAAAAGAGAAUACUCAGAGAAGAAUUACGGAGGAAUCUUCCGCGGUUAAAGAGGAUCAUAGUAGACAAAAGAUAGAGGAUACAUAGUGCCAAAAUGAUAUAACGUGCUAAAGAAUUCUCGAUUGCUAUGGUAUUUGCCAUUACUACACGUAGAGAAAGAAAUUGCGUAAUGACAGUGUAUCGCGGAUGCGAUACCCAUACUUUUGCGAUUCUGAAGAAAUAUCUCGGUAUGAUUAGACUAGAGAUCUCUAAUUGAGAUCUCUCUUGAGGAAGUGUCAAAACGUUGACGCACCUUGAACGUCAAUGUGACAAGACGAGAAAUUUCGACGAAUCGUGAUGUCAUUUGCUAUCGAAGGGCCGUAUUCAUAGUCGGAUCUUAUAUUUAAGACCGUCUUGGGUUCACGUUCAGAUAUUCUGUAGCCAAUGAAAUGAUCUAUACAGCAUCUGAGGAUGAACUUAAGACGAUCUUGUAAUAUAACAUAAGACCGGACCCGAUGAAUACGGCCCGAAGAGUUGUAUACUUGUAUACGGGUUCGAAAUUUUACGUUGCCGUUACUGAAUGUUUGGUAAAGUUCUAUGGAUUUUAAAGUUUAUCGGCGAAUAGGAGAGACGCGAGAGAAAACAUGAAUAACUGAUGAUAAUGUGUAAAUCUGAAUAGCGUUAAUAUGUAUACAAUUGCGCACGAAUCACUGAGAAGCAUUGUCUCGAUCAUGUUUCUUCUACCACAGGUACCAGUUCACUUGUAACUGCCUGUUCGUACUGCAAAGCCGUAACGACAUAAUCGCUCGUAUAGUCCACCUCUAAGACUUUUCCUCUCGAAACCGGCACGUAUAACGCUGUCGUAGCAAGCAUGAGGUGCAAUGUGGACUGGCAUGUGAUCCUGUAUUUAAAGUGCAAAUGUUGCGUUCAACGUUAAAGAGUAUUCUAAUAUUACAAAAUGAUUAUUAUACUUUAAAAAUUGGUACAUGAAGCUUACACACACACACACACACACAUACACACACACACACACAUUUGUAUGAUAUUAGUAUGGACAUUUAUGAGAAUUAUUGUUGAUAUAAGAGGAAAUGUGUUUGUAUAUAUUUAUGUAUAAUAUACUGAGACACCGUGUUAGUUUUUAUUAUUAUAGUUUUAAGAACUCAGUAAUCAGGAGCUAUGUCGGUUACUCAGAUUAUACAACAUAAAAUUAUAUAUUAAUUCUCUAGUUUGCAUAUCUUUUCUCGAACAGUAUAUUUAUGUGUGGAAAGAAAAAGCACAUGACAAAUAUCGACAAUUUGAUUUUAUCUGAGAUAUUCUAAACACGAUGAUUUGAUAUCGUUAUUUAUUUUCUAAAUAUUCUGCACAAUCUCGUAUAUUCAGUUAAUCUGAGGGACCGAUGAUUCGCUGAUUCUGUUUAAGACAUUUAAGGAGCCGCAUACCUUCCAUGAGCGACAGCUACUGUAUCUUAUAAUUAACCAUCUAUCUAAUACUACGUACAGUCUCAACAUCUCACUCAAGCACAAGAACAUGUCUUUCCUACCGCAUAAUCAGACUCCGAUUAUCACGAUUUGUACCUAGAUGUGCUUGAGCUAAGAUAAUAGUGGUAUGGAUAGGCAAUGACCGCACAAUUGUAUACAAUGAGGUCCAGGUCUGAGUGAUUGUCACUAAACGAUAUCAGUGUAGCAUAGUCUAACCUAGCAUUUUGAUGUAUAUCUAUUUCCUAAUUCCUAAUUCUAUCAACUCUAACCGCGAUACUACGUAUGAGCUUCCAAGAUGUGUACACGUGUAUGUAUCCGAAAUGCCAAGCCAACAAUUUGCAUUCUCGAGAGAACUAGCGAGAGAAAGCAUACAUCUUUUAGCAGUGCCAUCGCCAAAAUCGACUUUCGAACGGUAACGUAAUUCUUAAAACGCGAUAUUUCCCGACGACGAUGUAGUGUAUGUAUGUAACGUCUUUCUCUCUCUUUCUCCCUUCCCCUCCCCCCUCCUCUCUCUCUCUCUCUCUCUCCUUUGACUACUUACAUGUGUACUUGUAUGUGAUUACAAAAAGAUGUACUUUUUCCAAAUUAUAGAUUCAUAUUAUAAUAUAUAUUUUCGGAACGUUGUCGUGUGUCUGUAGAAGUAUCAGAUAUUUUUCAAUGUAUACAUGACGAGCGUGUCAUUUACAUAUCAAAUCCAUCGUCCCUUUUCUCUCGCUCUCUGUUAUGCGUUUCGCCAUCUUAUCGAACAUGUCAGUACAAGAUAGAUGAUGUCGUAACGAACUUACAGUUUUACCGUGUCCUUGCCGACAGUAAAGUCCCCUCCAACAGCCUCAGACACAUGUACGCGAUGAGAAACAUCGAAAGGUACUUUGCGAACUCAAACAACCGCCAAAACGCACAACCGUACGCGGAAAAACCGAUCGCGAUCUAAGAGAUUUCCCGCGCGGUACGAAACACGAUCGCGUCUCGAAUACGCACUUGAACAUAGCUGCGAGUCAACGAUUCUCGAACGUUGAGUUGCUCUCGAAAUACUGCAUCGUGACAUCGUGUUUUAUUACACACAAACGGUUAUAUAUUAAAUAUAAAAGUCGUAUUUCGAACAUGGCUCAAUGUAAACGAGAUAUCAAUACUUGUAUUUCCACACCCAAGAUUUCUGCCUUCAAAGUAAGAAUUUUGAGAUUCAUCAGGUUUGUCUCAAUUCUAAAUGAUAAUCGUUCCGAAUGACCAAUUAUAUUCCAAUUCCUUUCUUCAGCAGCAGAUUCGACCGAGUAAUUGUUCACGAGCGUACAACUGAAAACAUCAAGUAGUCUGUAUAAUGCGAUAAAUAAUUAUCGAAAGAACUACGACGUUAGUAAGUAACGAUAUCUCUUAAGUGGAGCGAGUUUAACGCGAGUUUAAUCCGAUAAAUUACAUCGUAAACCACAUUGGCGAUUCUCAAGAACAAGAACAGUUGGCUUGGCUUCUUCCAAACUCAGUAUUAGAAGACUUUGAGAACGGUGAUGGAAAAAAGAAACAAAGAAAGGUGAAACUUGUACGCGCGACUUGUAGACCGUUCUACUACAAAUUACAUUUUACAGAGACGUCGACU
rnacentral:misc_RNA from 1 species